CUGUGAAAAUAGGGGAGCUCACAAAUUAGUGGGCUGAGAGUAGGCUGAAGGCCUUGACCCUUAACCUGAUUUGGAUAAUGCCAACGUAGGAAUAUAUUAUGACGUACUUU
rnacentral:ncRNA from 1 species